rnacentral:pre_miRNA from 1 species
CAUGCACCGGUGGGGUCCCUCGGCCUGGCCUGCGCCCUCUCGCAAUCCAGGACCCUUCGGGGGAUGUUGGAAAGCCGGUUUUGGCUGAUCUCGCAGGCCAGGCCGAGGGACCCCACUGGUGCAUG